GAUGAACGCUGGCGGCGUGCUUAACACAUGCAAGUCGAGCGGAAAGGCCCCUUCGGGGGUACUCGAGCGGCGAACGGGUGAGCAUCACGUGAGUAAUCUGCCCUUCACUUCGGGAUAGCUUCGGGAAACCGAGAUUAAUACCGGAUACGACGACUCCCCGCAUGGGGUGGUCGUGGACAGAUUUUUUGGUGGGGGAUGUGCUCGCGGCCUAUCAGCUUGUUGGUGGGGUAAUGGCCUACCAAGGCUUCGACGGGUAGCCGGCCGGAGAGGGUGACCGGCCACACUGGGACUGAGACACGGCCCAGACUCCUACGGGAGGCAGCAGUGGGGAAUAUUGGACAAUGGGCGGAAGCCUGAUCCAGCAACGCCGCGUGAGGGAUGACGGCCUUCAGGUUGUAAACCUCUUUCACCACCGACGAAGCGUGAGUGACGGUAGGUGGGGAAGAAGCACCGGCCAACUACGUGCCAGCCGCCGCAGUAAAAC
rnacentral:rRNA from 1 species